UCUUUUGUCGGACAGCUUAGACUGCCUGCUUCUCGGAGGUGCAGGGAGCUGCUUUCCAGCGUGGCUGGCCAGGGCUGCAGGGGAAGGUGGAGGGAGAGCAUGGACUUGGGGUGUCACUCGGAGCUGUGGGGAGUGUGAGUGCCAGAAGUCCAAACGGAUCCAGGUGUGAGUCAUUGGUCCUUUUAUGGCUGUCCUCUGGAGCCCUUUUGGGAACACGGUAAUUACUGUGUCUGAGAUCAUGGCCAUCCUUAGGGUGUUCACUUGAACCAUCUGGUCUCCAAGAUGUUCCCAGCAGGAGGCAGAGGGAUUCUUUACAGAGGAGGAGAAGAUGAUGUGACAGUGGAAGCAGAGACCAGAGUGAUGUGCUUUGUAUGCGGGGAAGGGGCCACAGGCUGAGAAGCCCCAGCAGCCGCUACAAGCUGAAAAAGGAAGCCAGUUCUCCCCUCAAAGCCUCCAGAAGAAACCAGCCCUCCAAUCGUUUAACUUUAGCCAUAAAACCGAUUGCAGACUCCUGGCCUCCAGAACCAGAAGAGGAAACAUUCGUGUUGCUUUAAGCCACUACGUCUGUGGUGAUUUGUCCCAGCAGCCACAGGACACUAACAUAACAGAUAAUAAAAUUUGUUAUUAUGUAUUGA